rnacentral:rRNA from 1 species
UACAGAGGAGCCAAGCGUUGUCCGGAUUGACUGGGCGUAAAGCGCACGCAGGCGGACGCGCGCGUGGGGUGUGAAAUCUGGCCGCUUAACGGCCAGGCGCCAUCCCAUACGGCACGCCUGGAGCCUUGCAGAGGUCGGUGGAAUUGCCGGUGUAGUGGUGAAAUGCGUAGAGAUCGGCAGGAACACCCAGGGGGAAACCAGCCGACUGGGCAAGUGCUGACGCUGAGGUGCGAGAGCGUGGGGAGCGAACCGG